rnacentral:rRNA from 1 species
UACGUAGGGUGCAAGCGUUGUCCGGAAUUAUUGGGCGUAAAGAGCUCGUAGGCGGUCUGUCGCGUCGGCUGUGAAAUCCCGAGGCUCAACCUCGGGUCUGCAGUCGAUACGGGCAAACUGGAGUGUUGCAGGGGAGACUGGAAUUCCUGGUGUAGCGGUGAAAUGCGUAGAGAUCGGGAGGAACAUCAGUUGCGAAGGCGGCUCUCUGGACCAGCACUGACACUGAGGCACGAAAGCGUGGGGAGCAAACAGG